rnacentral:misc_RNA from 1 species
AAGUCGUAACAAGGUUUCCGUAGGUGAACCUGCGGAAGGAUCAUUAAUGAAUAAAGGUACACGCCUCACGGCUGUGUUGUUGGAUCAUUGUGCAAUAGUCUUUGAUCCACUUCCCUAUCAUAUCCAUAACACCUGUGCACUUGUUAUCGGGGCUUGUUGUUAAAGAUAAGCCCUGCUUAAUCACAUACUCUUAUUAUUUACUUUGAAUGUUUAUCAAGUCGAAAGACUUUUAAAUCAAUACAACUUUUAACAACGGAUCUCUUGGCUCUC